GAUAAAAAGCAGAAGCACCCGCUUCUCGCCUAGGUUACUAGAGUAACCGGGCAAAUCACUUAAUUACUGGCAUAUUUAUAUGUUUUAGACUAGUAAAUUAAUGGUGCGGGGUGCAAAAUUGCACGUCGCUUUUUUGAUACC
rfam:Lactobacillus gastricus PS3 contig00016, whole genome shotgun sequence.